rnacentral:rRNA from 1 species
GUCGUGGGCCGGCAGCUGAUGCAGCCAUGCCGCGUGUGUGAUGAAGGCCUUCGGGUUGUAAAGCUCUUUCAGCGGGGAAGAAAAUGACGGGGCCUAUACCCGAAACCCUUGACGUUUCCCGGAGAAGAAGCACCGGCUAACUCCGGGCCCUAGGCCGCGGUAAUACUUAAUGGGGGUAAAGUUAAUCGGAAUUACUGGGCGUAAAGCGGGUGAAAUCCGCCUGUUUAGUCCGAUGUGAAAUCCCCGGGCUCAACCUGGGAACUGCAUUUGAAACUGGUGGGAUUCAGUCUUGUAAAGGGGGGUUGAAUUCCAUGUGUAGGAACAACAUGCGUAAAAAUCUGGAGGAACACCCGUGGUGAAGGCGGCCCCCUGGACCGUGACUGACGCUCAGGAUUAAAAGCCCUGGGAGCAAACAGGAUUAAAUACCCUGGUAGUCCACGCCGUAAACGAUGUCUACUAGGACGUUCGUGAACAUUUAAGGGUUUCUUCCGCGAGCUAAACGGUUUAAUCCACCCGCCUGGGAAGAACGGACGGAAGGUUAAAACUCAAAGGAUUUGACGG